ensembl:lncRNA
UACAAUUCAACUUCCGCUGCUGCUGCUGAAGAUACAGAGAGUUGCAACUGGCAGUGUUAUUAGCAAAAUGAGAAUACAGGAAAGAGAUCUGAAUUCUAACCAGUUUAGACAUUACCAGGAUUUCUACAUCUGUUGGGAUGGAACAAUACAUUAAAGUUACAGUGAUGCCAUGUUCACACUAUGGAAUGAGGGUUCAUUACAUAAUUUUAUGAUUCAGGUCUCAAACAUUUCCAGUGGCCAUAUAAUUAUAGGAUGAGGUCAUUAAAGAUGGGACUAACCAGGGGAAGAAAUAGCUCUGAGAUCUAUGAAUGCUCUAUGCAUCACACCAGUGUCCAGAAACAGCAGGUGAGACAUAAUGGAUGAUCAUCAGAGGAGCAUUUGAAACUUAAACUAAUUAAAUGUUUUAUUAUUUCAUAUACUUUUAUGCUUGAUUUCUCUGCCCACUAACUGAAGAAAGAGACCUCUAUUAAAGAGACAACUUUCAAAAGCAGCUCAUGGGGAAUACCGGUUAGUUCCAGUGCUAGUAUCUAGUAGCUGAUUUGCAGACAUGUUGGUCACCCCAACCUUCUGUUUCAGUGGAAUUUCUUUCUUACUUAAUUACUGUCUUUUCCAAAGCAUUCUCUGAGCUGAGGAGAUCCCACCACUCUCUCAGAAUUUUUAUACCUCAGGAAUAGCUAUACUCUCUGUGCCUGCAGACGUGAGGACAAGCACUGAUGAAACCACUUGGCAUUUUUGUCAGCAUAUGCAGGUUUUCUCUGAGGUCUAAAAACAGACGAGCUGCUCUUAGUAGGACUGCUAACAGUGUCUCUCUCCUCGAUGUGGCCACCUAUUUCACAAGACUUGUUGGAAUUUAACGCCUUUGAGAUCAUUGGUCAAAUGCUUUUUUGGAGGCUAAAUCCGAAUACGCACACAGUGUGGUCAUAAAAACAUCAUUUUCUUAGAACACUGUCCUAAAAAACUUGCUGUGCUCCCCUAAAAGAAGUAUUGCACAAGACAUCAUUGCUACGUAACAUAACCCUGACUUCAGUUGCUGCUUCUACUGGUGUUUCAGCAAACAUUUCUUGGCUUCAGUAUCAAAUUUUAAAUGGAAGUUGUUGGUUUCAUGAGGAAACGCAGCAAACCAGUUGGUGUAAAUGCAGCAAAUCAGUUGGUGUAAGCAGCAAAUUGGUUGAUACAAGCUAUGUUUAUGUGCCACCUUUCAUUCAAAAAGAUCCAUAAUCUCUUGGCAAGCGGUAACCGCAGUGUGAGUGAGGGGAGGCAUAGCAGGGGAAUGGUGGAAUAAUAUGGCAUGCAACAAAAUCUUUUGCUGAUUUUUAAUACUCCUAGAAUUAAAGGAUCUCCAAACAUUUUCAAAUGUUAGCUGACACUUACGUAGCCGGUGGCUUCAGUAAACAUCCUCUUUAUUUACAUAGUGAGAAACUGAGGCAUACAGAGGUUUGGUGAGCUGGUGAGCUGCCUAUGAUUGCACAACCAUUGCUCAGCAAGCAUGGAAGUAACAGCAUCUCGAACACCUGACUGCCUGUCCUGUGAUCUGGCCAGGCCUUGAUAACGCUUCUGAGAACUGAGCUGCCAGAGGUGCCAGGCACAAUGAAAAUGCUCAGGCUGGACCAUGGCCAAGGCAGAAAGAACAACAACCGCUUCUUGUGAAAGUGCCAUGAAGUCUUCAGCGACCCCAAGCAGUCAUGGCCACGGCUGAUCAUUAGAUCGACUAAUACCUCAUUGCAAGGACAGUACAUUGAAGAAGGACCAUAUCUGUUUUCAUAAAGAGAAGGCACUGAGUUCAGCUCUAAGGCAGAAGGACGCAAAACAUUUCCUGAGUCAUCAUCAGCAUUUUCUGCAGCGCUCUGGAUUUUC